GGAGAGCAAGCUCCUCAUCGGGGGCAGGAACAUCAUGGAUCACACCAACGAACAGCAGAAGAUGUUGGAACUGAAGAGGCAGGAGAUUGCCGAGCAGAAACGUCGUGAGCGGGAGAUGCAGCAGGAGAUGAUGCUCCGGGACGAGGAGACCAUGGAGCUCCGGGGCACCUACACAUCCCUGCAGCAGGAGGUGGAGGUCAAAACCAAGAAACUCAAGAAGCUCUACGCCAAGCUGCAGGCGGUGAAGGCGGAGAUCCAGGACCAGCAUGAUGAGUACAUUCGCGUGCGGCAGGACCUGGAGGAGGCGCAGAACGAGCAGACCCGCGAACUCAAGCUCAAGUACCUAAUCAUCGAGAACUUCAUCCCGCCGGAGGAGAAGAACAAGAUCAUGAACCGGCUUUUCCUGGACUGUGAGGAGGAGCAGUGGAAGUUCCAGCCACUGGUGCCAGCCGGCGUGUGAGUCUCUAACCCAGCUGUCUGGGCUGGGGGACUUGUGGGUCCACCCCAGGUCGGGGCUGGUGAGGGGCCUGAGGCCUUGCCUGCAGGGAGACAGAUGUUUUGUGGAUUGGGGAAAAGAUGGGGAGGAUGCCCAUGGGGGAUGAAUUUCUCAGGAUCUAAUUGUAGGGGUCUCUAUGAUGGAAGGGUGUUCUGGGGAAAAAAGUGUCUCAUUGGCCUGGGAUGCAGAAAAUACCUUGUGAGGGAUCUCGGGAGGGAGGAAGAGCAUCUCAGCCUCUUGUCAAUCCUAGCGAAUGCUAACAUCUGGCCAGGUCUGGUGAAUAUUCAUUUGUCAGAUGCCCGAAAUAGCAACCACAGUUAAUAUUUGCCAAGCGCUACUGUGUGCCGGAUGCUGUGCAAGACUCAGGAGACAGAAGAUA
rnacentral:sRNA from 1 species